rnacentral:rRNA from 1 species
AUAACAGGUCUGUGAUGCCCUUAGAUGUUCUGGGCCGCACGCGCGCUACACUGACUGGUUCAACAAGCUGCUUCCUGCUCUUCGAGAGGUGUGGGUAAUCUUUGAACGCCAGUCGUGAUGGGGAUAGAUUCUUGCAAUUUUCAAUCUUCAACGAGGAAUUCCUAGUAAACGCAAGUCAUCAACUUGCAUUGAUUACGUCCCUGCCCUUUGUACACACCGCCCGUCGCACCUACCGAUUGAAUGGUCCGGUGAAACUUUCGGAUUGCGGUCGCGUAACCUCUUGUAGGACACCGACUGUGAAAAGUCAGUUAAACCUUACCAUUUAGAGGAAGGUGAAGUCGUAACAAGGUUUCCGUAGGUGAACCUGCAGAAGGAUCA